GCCAGACUCCUACGGGAGGCAGCAGUGAGGAAUAUUGGUCAAUGGGCGAGAGCCUGAACCAGCCAAGUCGCGUGAAGGAUGACGGCCCUACGGGUUGUAAACUUCUUUUGUCAGGGAGCAAUUGGGUCCACGCGUGGGCUUAGCGAGAGUACCUGAAGAAAAAGCAUCGGCUAACUCCGUGCCAGCAGCCGCGGUAAUACGGAGGAUGCGAGCGUUAUCCGGAUUUAUUGGGUUUAAAGGGUGCGUAGGCGGAAUAUCAAGUCAGGGGUGAAAGUUUGUGGCUCACCCAUAGAUUUGCCGUUGAAACGGGGGGGCUUGAGUAUGUUUGAGGCGGGCGGAAUGCGUGGUGUAGCGGUGAAAUGCAUAGAUAUCCCGCAGAACCCCGAUU
rnacentral:rRNA from 1 species